rnacentral:lncRNA from 1 species
GCGGGGCUUCAGCUUGUAUACAUCAUACUUAAAUUUUAUUGGACGUUACGUUUGAGGUUAAGGACACUUAAUUUUAAAACAUCACAUGAAAAAUAUUCUCACAUGUUUCCUCACCUGUAAAAAUACAAUAAUUGGUCAAUGAAAGAAAAAUAUAAACUUAAUAUUGUUUUUUUUUUUAUAACAUAUCAAUCUAUUAGUUCAGUUGUUUCCGUGUCU